AUUCCUAUAGGAUCCUAUAGGAAUUCCUAUUAGAUUUUGGCCCAAUUUCCUAUAGGAAUUCCUAUAGGAUCCUAUAGGAAAU